AGUCAUGGAUGAUUCUUGGAAUUUGCUAAAAUGAAAUGCUGCAUCUAAGUGCGAUUUAGCAGAUGUUCUUUCUUCCUACACCAAAGGCAGCAACUUUCAUUGGUGACUACUCACAAAACUUUGUGCCUGGAAGAUGGACAUUUGGCAAGCCAUAAUAGACUGCUCCUUUCCCAGG